rnacentral:tRNA from 1 species
GGCGUCAUCGUCUAAUGGUAAGACAUCUGGUCCUAAAAUAAUUAAUCUUAUUCCAGAAAAUGCAGGUUCGAAUCCUGACAACGCCA